UACAGAGGGGGCAAGCGUUGUUCGGAAUUACUGGGCGUAAAGGGCGCGUAGGCGGCCUGUUAAGUCGAACGUGAAAUCCCCGGGCUCAACCCGGGAACUCGCGUCCGAGUACUGGCAGGCUUGAAUCCGGGGAGAGGGAUGCGGAAUUCCAGGUGUAGCGGUGAAAUGCGUAGAUAUCUGGAGGAACACCGGUGGCGAAGGCGGCGAUCCU
rnacentral:rRNA from 1 species